rnacentral:lncRNA from 1 species
AUUCAAUGAGAGCAGCCUGAUGGAUAGUUCCAUUCACAUGAUGCAGAAAAUCUUUUUUCACUUUUCCAUUAAUGUUUCCCCAGAUAAGACUAGUUGAUGUAGGAGUGAAUCUUUUCUGGCAGGAAAACGUCAUGUAGUGAGGCUCAUUUUAACUGUUAGAGGAAAAGGGCAUUGCCUUUUCUUCAGGAACUGAACAAAGCAUGCAGUCUCCCAGUUUAUCUAGGAUGUGAAUAAGAUCCAUGCUAGCUGUUGAUGCCUUCAAAACACACAAGAUCUAAACAAGAUUUUGAUGGAGAGAUAUGGAGUAAGAAUACUUGUCAGAGUAUUUUAUCAGUUAUUUCACCCUAAGUAAUGAUCUUAAUUUUCUUUCUGUAUUGUUGAAAUUAUACAAAAGAAGCACCUGCCUGAAGGAGGUGUGUUGAUCAAGUCUUGAGGCUCCAGCCUCCUGUGUGGAGGUUUCCUCACCUGCAGCCUGGUCUGCCUGAUGGCUGGGCUGUUGGCUGCUUACAGGUCAGCUGUCAGCACCAGGAGAUCACCGGCUGAAGCUCAUCAGUUAUCCACAGAAAUGAUGUGGCACGUCUUGUCCAAAACCCCUUCUGAUGGUGAGAGGAGAAACUGGCAACCUGAGAACAUUUUGAGAGCCUGUCCCUCCUGUAAAGCUGACAGUAGUGAUGUCUGCCGAAGGAUUCACUGGUGUCUUGAGCAUGUCUAUUUAUAUACAUUAAAACCCGCCAUCUAUUUAUAUUAAUAAAAGAAUCC